AGCCUGAACGCUGGCGGCGUGGUUAAGACAUGCAAGUCGAACGCACUGUAGCAAUACAGUGAGUGGCGAAAGGGUGAGUAAUGUAUCGCUAACGUACCCCGGACUCAGGGAUAGCUGCCCGAAAGGGCAGGUAAUACCUGAUGAUGUAACUACAGGGCAUCCUGUGGUUCCCAAAGGUCCGC
rnacentral:rRNA from 1 species